rnacentral:rRNA from 1 species
UACGGAGGGGGCUAGCGUUAUUCGGAAUUACUGGGCGUAAAGCGCACGUAGGCGGAUUAGAAAGUCAGAGGUGAAAUCCAGGGCUCAACCUUGGAACUGCCUUUGAAACUCCUAGUCUUGAGAUCGAGAGAGGUGAGUGGAAUUCCGAGUGUAGAGGUGAAAUUCGUAGAUAUUCGGAGGAACACCAGUGGCGAAGGCGGCUCACUGGCUCGAUACUGACGCUGAGGUGCGAAAGCGU